AUUGAACGCUGGCGGCAGGCCUAACACAUGCAAGUCGAACGAGUGGCGGACGGGUGAGGAAUACAUCGGAAUCUACUCUGUCGUGGGGGAUAACGUAGGGAAACAUACGCUAAUACCGCAUACGAUUGAAUGAGCCGAUGUCGGAUUAGCUAGUUGGCGGGGUAAAGGCCCACCAAGGCGACGAUCCGUAGCGGGUAUGAGAGGAUGAUCAGCCAAACUGGAACUGAGACACGGUCCAGACUCCUACGGUAGGCAGCAGUGGGGAAUAUUGGACAAUGGGGGCAAGCCGGAUGCAGCAAGACCGCGUGGGUGAAGAAGGCCUUCGGGUUGUAAAGCCCUUUUGUUGGGAAAGCGGUACCCGAAGAAUAAGCACCGGCUAACUUCGUGCCAGCAGCCGCGGUAAUAC
rnacentral:rRNA from 1 species